rnacentral:rRNA from 1 species
UUCCUACGGGGCGCAGCAGUGGGGAAUAUUGGGCAAUGGGCGCAAGCCUGACCCAGCAACGCCGCGUGAAGGAAGACGGCUUUCGGGUUGUAAACUUCUUUUGACAGGGAAGAGCAGAAGACGGUACCUGUCGAAUAAGCCACGACUAACUACGUGCCAGCAGCCGCGGUAAUACGUAGGUGGCAAGCGUUGUCCGGAUUUACUGUGUGUAAAGGGCGUGUAGCCGGGCUGACAAGUCAGAUGUGACAUCCGGUGGCUCAACCCCCGACCUGCAUUUGACACUGUUG